GCCGAGAUGGCCGAGUGGACUAAGGCGCACGCCUGGAAAGCGUGUUCCUUCGCGGGAUCGGGGGUUCGAAUCCCCCUCUCGGCG
rfam:Halorubrum sp. J07HR59 genomic scaffold scf7180000001382, whole genome shotgun sequence.